CCCCGUCUAGCUCAGUUGGUAGAGCGUACGGCUUUUAACCGUAUGGUCCUGGGUUCGAGCCCCAGGGUGGGCA
rnacentral:tRNA from 1 species